CAGCAGCCACGGGAAUACGUAGGGCGCAAGCGUUAUCCGGAAUUAUUGGGCGUAAAGAGCUCGUAGGCGGUUUGUCGCGUCUGCCGUGAAAGUCCGGGGCUCAACCCCGGAUCUGCGGUGGGUACGGGCAGACUAGAGUGAUGUAGGGGAGACUGGAAUUCCUGGUGUAGCGGUGAAAUGCGCAGAUAUCAGGAGGAACACCGAUGGCGAAGGCAGGUCUCUGGGCACUAACUGACGCUGAGGAGCGAAAGCAUGGGGAGCGAACAGGAUUAGAUACCCCCGUAGUCCCUGUCUCUUAUAC
rnacentral:rRNA from 1 species